rnacentral:rRNA from 1 species
GGAAUAUUGGGCAAUGGGCGAAAGCCUGACCCAGCGACGCCGCGUGAGGGAAGAAGGUCUUCGGAUUGUAAACCUUUUUUAUUCGGGAAGAAGAAAGUGACGGUACCGAAAGAAUAAGCCACGGCUAACUACGUGCCAGCAGCCGCGGUAAUACGUAGGUGGCAAGCGUUAUCCGGAAUUACUGGGUGUAAAGGGUGUGUAGGCGGGUCAACAAGUCAGAUGUGAAAAUUAUGGGCUCAACUCAUAACCUGCAUUUGAAACUGUAGAUCUUGAGUGUCGGAGGGGUAGAUGGAAUUCCUGGUGUAGCGGUGAAAUGCGUAGAUAUCAGGAGGAACACCGGUGGCGAAGGCGAUCUACUGGACGACAACUGACGCUGAGACACGAAAGCGUGGGGAGCAAACA